ACAUGUCUAUAGCAUAACAUUACUUCAUUCUAUCCCAUUAGAACUUUGCAGUUAAGCGUGCUUGGGCUAGAGUAGUACUGGGAUGGGUGGUUGCAUGGGAAGUCUUGCUAUUUUACAUGUC
rnacentral:rRNA from 1 species